rnacentral:rRNA from 1 species
GACGAACGCUGGCGGCGUGCUUAACACAUGCAAGUCGAGCGGUAAGGCCCUUUCGGGGGUACACGAGCGGCGAACGGGUGAGUAACACGUGGGUGACCUGCCUCUAGCUCUGGGAUAAGCCUGGGAAGCUGGGUCUAAUACCGGAUAUGACCUCGCGGUGCAUGUUGCGGGGUGGAAAGCCUUGUGCGGCUAGGGAUGGGCCCGCGGCCUAUCAGCUUGUUGGUGGGGUGANGGCCUACCAAGGCGACGACGGGUAGCCGGCCUGAGAGGGCGACCGGCCACACUGGGACUGAGACACGGCCCAGACUCCUACGGGAGGCAGCAGUGGGGAAUCUUGCGCAAUGGGCGAAAGCCUGACGCAGCGACGCCGCGUGAGGGAUGACGGCC